GAGCUGGUAUGGUUUAGUGGUUUGAGUGUUGGACUAUGACUGUGGAGAUCAGGGUUCAAAACCCUGCUGGGCCA